CCGCUUAGGAUGCUAUCAAGUAUACUCUGAAGACCUGGAUCUGAACUGCCAAAGUAUUGGUUUAGCUACAUGCUAUCCGUCAAAGCAAAUCGCAAGCCACUGUAAGGUUCAAGGCAGUGCUGGUCUCCCCAUGUAACCCUCCCCUCUCCACAGUCCAUAUCCAGUGAGCCCCCAAGCCCUCCUAGGGUCUCUCAAGUUACACAGUGGCAUCAUUCCAGCUCGGCUGGCUUGGUUGAGUUGAGAGUUCCAGAAGUGAUGUACUGCAUCUGUAAGUGUUUCCAGAGGAAGCAAGACCAGCCCUGAAUAUGGGAGGCACAGUUCCAUGGGAUGAGGUUCUAUACUGAAUAACCAGGAGCACCAGUGUUCAUCUUUCUCUGCUCCCCUCUCAGAGGAUGCAACAGGGACUGCUGCUUCCCACCCACCAUCAGCGACUGUAUCCCUCAAACUGUGGACCAAAAGCAUGGUGGUGCACGCCUUUAGUCCCAACACUUGGGAGGCAGAGGCAAUCUAA